CAGGGCAGAGCAGGGUGCGGGGCGCUGUGGGGUCGGGACCACCUCCGCCCGCCCUCCUCCGCAAGCCCCCGGGGCCGGGACGGGGAAGGAAAACCCCACGCUGGGAAAAGAGAUAAGCUGCCUUCGGUCUGCCUGGUGAUGCCAGAAAGGACAGGGGCAGGGAGAGGAGUACGGAACUCGUCGGCCACAAAGCAGUAGGCAGGACGGGUCACGAACGGGGCCCGAGGCAGGGCCAGCUCCCGCUGGGGUAACAGGGUCCCGGGACGGCGAGGGUAGGAGGAAUGAUCGGCAUUUAUAACGCCGGGGGAGGCUCACAGCCUUUCCAGCCUUUCAAAGAGUUUCAGCUGGGGCUUGCCACAAACAGAUUUCAAGUCUUCUCCUUCAGACCCAGGGGCUGGAGAAGGUGUCCCUCCGAGGCUGCCUGGCACGUACCAGGGGGACAUGUACCUCUCUAAACAGGCCCUGAAGUGGCUCCUGCCGCCACGCCCGGCAGGGCGUUUGCCGGGACCCCGGCGUGGCCGCGGCCCGUUCCGCGCCCGCGGAAAGGCCGGGGGGCGGGGGUCGCCCCCCGGGGACGCGGGGUGCCGGCGGGCUUUCGGGUUCCAGCCUCCGCCCCCCACACUGCUACCCCCCUAACUCUUGGCAGGCGGUAAGAAAUUGUUUCAGAAGUCGGGUGGUGGGGCUGAAUUUAGAGAGGGGAGGAGGGAAUAAAUGCAAGGAGAUGAUGAAUAACUUUAACUUUUGACUGUAGGAGUCAUGAUGGAGUUGAGCGAAGCUGCGGGAAAAUAUGUCAUUUAAUCCCAGGGCUACUGAAGUCCCUUUUAUCAAACGUCGUGAUGCUGGAAUUAUACUGCUGUAAAAGCGACUGAGUACUUGAAAGUAUCCAACAUCAGGCAAAUGUAUAGAUUGGAGGAAUGGGUGUAAAAUGAAGGCACGUACAAACUAAUCACACGACCGUGAAAACCCCAAGCGGAUUAGAUAAAUAUAAAUAGAUAAAAAAAAAAAAAAAAGGCACGAUAAAACUCUAGCUGCUGUAUUCACACAAGGAGAACAGACAGCGUGUGCAUGUUUGUGUGCAAUGCCAAAAAGAGCAGCCUUAAGGUUGACCUACUGCAAUCUGCACUGAGCUCCUCAGACAAUAGACAAGUUCAAAUGUCAAAAAAUCUAAUAAUAAUAACCAGAGCUGCCAAACUGCACGAACUGUUUUCUGGUGUAUCACAAUUAUUCAGCCUCAUAUCCACUAAAAGACUUCCAGUCCUUAUGCGUGUAAAAGAAAAUCUAUGUAAUGCAUAUGGAUUUUUUUUUUUUAUCACAUGUGAAACGCCAUUGAGAUGGCAAGCACGCAAAUCGGAAUGAUAUCAUGUCUAAUAAAAGCAGGGCUAAGGUUUUCACAGUCUCUUUUAAAAGACUCCAACUUGUAAAUCCCCUUUUAAUGUCGCUACAUGCACAAUAAUUCUUAUUAAUAAAAAUCUACAUGUUCAAGGGUCUGGAUUGAAACUAUGUAUCCCUCUGAUUUUAACAUCGGUGGGAGCAUUAGGUUUCCAUCAUAUGCAAUGUGUCUACGUUGAGCUCAAGUCAACAGAUAGAUUGUUCCAUUCAUUUGGCAACUCUCAUUACAGUCCGCGUGAGGUGAACCCUGAGCAAGACACGUUGGAUAAUAUCAAAAUUAUGCAGCCGGGAAAUAAAGGAAUCUUGCUUUGCAUGUGCAGUUCUGUAUUAUUGUUCUAAUUUAUUACAGAACCCGAAAUGCUUUGUUAUGCUCAAAACAAUAAAUAAGGUUCCGAGUGAAGCCUUCAGAAUAAAAGGUAUGGAUAAAUGA